UACGUAGGGUGCAAGCGUUGUCCGGAAUUAUUGGGCGUAAAGAGCUCGUAGGCGGUCUGUCGCGUCUGCUGUGAAAACUCAGGGCUUAACCCUGAGCUUGCAGUGGGUACGGGCAGACUAGAGAGCGGUAGGGGAGACUGGAAUUCCUGGUGUAGCGGUGAAAUGCGCAGAUAUCAGGAGGAACACCGGUGGCGAAGGCGGGUCUCUGGGCCGUAACUGACGCUGAGGAGCGAAAGCAUGGGGAGCGAACAGG
rnacentral:rRNA from 1 species